AACUGGUUCACAUUAUUGAUGAAGGAUAAUCAAUAUAACAUUCAUGAAUCCAAAUGAUCGAAUUCUAAAUAAAGCAAAUCUUCUUAGGUUUCAAUUUCCAGAAAUAUCAUAAGUUGGCAAAAAAGGAAGAACUACCUAAAGAAAAUAAAAUGAUUUAUAAGCGAUAAGAUAGAAGAAAUCCAAACAAUAUGGGCACCAGUAGAACCAAAAUGAUUAUCUGCAAAGAAAUUGCGAUGAAAUUAAAUCGAAUAAAAUGUCUAAGAACCAAAAAAAAAGAAUAAAUAUCGUUAAGAUUUUCAUCUCACCAAUAUCAUGCUAUACAUCGAUUUGCUUUCGUAGGUAUUAUAUAGUCUGGGUAAAAAAGGGAUGAUUAGAUAUGAUAAUGUGUCGUAAUAUUAAAGGAAAAAAAAAUGUAAGCAAAGUUAUUG
rnacentral:lncRNA from 1 species